UACGUAGGGUGCAAGCGUUGUCCGGAAUUAUUGGGCGUAAAGAGCUCGUAGGCGGUUUGUCGCGUCUGCUGUGAAAUCCCGAGGCUCAACCUCGGGUCUGCAGUGGGUACGGGCAGACUAGAGUGUGGUAGGGGAGAUUGGAAUUCCUGGUGUAGCGGUGGAAUGCGCAGAUAAUCAGGAGGAACACCAGAGUGGAGCGA
rnacentral:rRNA from 1 species